rnacentral:rRNA from 1 species
GAUGAACGCUGGCGGCGUGCCUAAUACAUGCAAGUCGAGCGACCAGACGAGGAGCUUGUUCCUCUGACGUUAGCGGCGGACGGGUGAGUAACACGUGGAUAACCUACCUAUAAGACUGGGAUAACUUCGGGAAACCGGAGCUACUACCGGAUAAUAUAUUGAACCGCAUGGUUCAAUAGUGAAAGACGGUUUUGCUGUCUCUUAUAGAUGGAUCCGCGCCGCAUUAGCUAGUUGGUAAGGUACCGGCUUACCAAGGCAACGAUGCGUAGCCGACCUGAGAGGGUGAUCGGCCACACUGGAACUGAGACACGGUCCAGACUCCUACGGGAGGCAGCAGUAGGGAAUCUUCGGCAAUGGGCCAAAUCCUGACGGAGCAACGCCGCGUGAGUGAUGAAGGUCUUCGGAUCGUAAAACUCUGUUAUUAGGGAAGAACAAAUGUAUAAGUAACUAUGCACGUCUUGACGGUACCUAAUCAGAAAGCCACGGCUAACUACGUG